rnacentral:lncRNA from 1 species
GCCAUUUCUUCAGUUCAUAUCACUAGUGACUCAGCCUCCAUUCACCAUCAUUCAUCCAGGAAUCGUCUUGCUUCCCUUCCCCCUGGCCAGAGUCUGUAUUGUAACCUGUGCGAUUCACUGAGCAUUGGGCUCGAGAGGUGCCGCUGCUUCUCCCUGGUGUUGCCAGCAUAGGGAAAGUCAGGAAUGGAAGCAGACAGCCCAGCUUCUCCGUUAGAUUCAUGCUUGGCACAAAGGCAUUAGCAAAGUCUCCAUCGCGCUGCUGUCACCCAUUGGAGGCGAUCUCAGUGGGUCAGUGCUGACCUUCGAGGAAUUCCAGCGUCCAGUCCUUGUUUUUCCCCUCCAUUUCACUUCCGUGGCUUUACUUUCCCAAAGAUAAUUAUAUGACUCAGGAAGACAAGCGCAUACUUCACAUACCUGCGGGAACCAUAACGCCGGGAGAGUUGCAGGAGGCAUCGCAAGCAGAGCUUUGAUGCUGCUGAUCAGAGAUGGACCUUGGUGAAAACUGGGAGCUGGAUGAAGCCAACUGGUUGUCUCAUGGCGGGAUCCAUCCCUUUGUCGGCGUGAAAGGAGACAAUGAGCUCUCUGAAGGUUCACCAGCUCUGUUUGCUCGGGAUCAGCUGGGCUUGCCUUGAGCUCCAGCACUGUGUCCAGCAUACUGGCAGUUCUUCCCAGCCUGGUGUUCACUGCAAACAUAAAAAGCAC